rnacentral:rRNA from 1 species
UGCCAUAUUGCUCCUAUACCGUAGUAACAGAGAGUUUGAUCCUGGCUCAGAUUGAACGCUGGCGGGAUGCUUGCGCGAAAGGCAAGUCGACCUGCGCGCCACUUGGCGGGUCUGGUGGCGAGUGGCGAACGGGUGAGUAAUGUAUCGGAACGUGCCUAGUAGUGGGGAUAACUACGCGAAAGCGUAGCCAUCACUGCAUACGCCCUUCGGGAAAGCGGGGACCUUCGGGCCCGCACUGCUGAGCGCCGACAUCGAGCCACGGGUUGGUGGGGUAACGGCUCACCAAGGCGACGAUCCGCAGAAGGCUGGUCGAGGAGGACGACCAGCCACAUCGGGACCUAGAGAGAUGACGGCCCAGACUCAAGGAAAAGGCAGCAGUGGGAAUUUUGGACAAUGGGGGAAACUCCUGGAUCCAGCCAUCCCGCGUGUGCGAUGAAGGCCUUCGGGUUGUAAAGCACCUUUGGCGGAAAAGAAACGGCACGGGGAUAAUACCCUGUGCAACUGACGGUACCUGCAGAAUAAGCACCGGCUAACUACGUACUGAAAAGCGCGGUAAAGCAGCUGCGUAGGGCGCAAGCGUUAACCGGAAUACUGGGCGUAAAGGCAGCAGUAAGUAGCUUUUCUCGAAAGAAAGAUGUGAAAUCCCAGAGCUUAACUUUGGAACUGCAUUUUUAACUACCGAGCUAGAGUGUGUCAGAGGGAGGUGGAAUUUCAAGUGUAGCAGUGAAUUGCGUAGAUAUGCGGAGGAACACCGAUGGCGAAGGUAGCCUCCUGGGAUAACACUGACGCUCAUGCACGAAAGCGUGGGGGAUAAACAGGAUUAGAUACCCUGGUAGUCUCACGCCCAACGAUGUCAAGGUUGCUAGCCUUCGGGCUAUAGCGCGUUAACGCGUAAAGCGACCGCCUGGGGAGUACGGUCGCAAGAUUAACUCGCUGAAUUGACAACCGCACGCGGUGAUGAUGUGGAUUAACGAUGCAAACGCGAAAACCUACCUACCCUUGAUACAGUGUCUGGAACUUUGAAGAGAUUUGGGAGAAGCGCAAGAGAACCGAACACAGGUGCUGCAUGGCUGUCGUCAGCUCGUGUCGAGAUGCUGUUGUCCCAACAACGAGCGCGGCAACCUUGUCAUACGUUAUUAGCGGCAUCAAUGAGAUCGCCGGUGACAAACCGGAGGAAGGUGGGGAUGACGUCAAGUCUCAUGGCCCUUAUGGGUGCAGGGCUUCGCUAUCAUGCGGCUACCGCGGGAUGAGAGGUCGCCAACCUGCUGAGGGGGAGCUCAAUCCCAGAAACCCGAUCGUAGUCCGGAUCGCAGUCUGCAACCUGGUCCGCGUGAAGUCGGAACGCUGCACUGCGGAUCAGUACGUCGCGGUGUGAAUACGUUCCCGGUCUUGUACACACCGCCUGUCACACCAUGGGAGUGGGUUUUACCAGAAGUAGUUAGCCUAACCGUAAGGAGGGCGAUUACCACGGUAGGAUUCGCGACUAGUGAAGUCAAAUAAGGUAAA